AAUAUGUAUGGAUAGGUUUUCUUUCUUAGAUGGUCUAGAGACUCUAGACCGUUUAUAUUUUUCCUUUGAAAAGUAUUUUUCUUUCCGUUAUGCUUGACGACAUCUAAAUUUGAUUCUAGUUUGUUUCUUAGGCUCGAAGAAUAGGAAGAAAAGAAUACAUUGAGAAAAGCUAGAUGGGAAGGGAACAAAAGGAGGGAAUUAAGUGGAUUCCCUCCAAACACGCCAUACCUCCCUCGACAUCACCAUUAUUUUUGCCUUACUUUCGUAUGAAUAGCAUGAGCGGUAAAAGGUUAACUCUUGGUGUUGGAUUGAUAGAGCCUUUUGUUUACAGUUGAAGGUAGCAAGCUGAAAAAUCUGUUUUGCGGACCGAAAAUUUGGGGCGAUUUCAUUUCGGUGGUAAUUUGGAUUUUCAUUCCAAUUGAGGUACAGGACUCAGGAUUUGAAGAUUCCAUUGCUCCUUGGAUGGCUUACAGUUUCUAAGUUUCUAUUUUAUGCAAGUGUUAGCAUAAGAUGCCUCUUUGUAGCCCUAUUUGUUUAAACUUGUAUUCGUUAAUUCGUAUAUGUAAAGUGUACGUAAGUGAACUCUUUUCAAUGUAUUUAACAUGUAUGAGAUGAGGCCGGAGGCCAAUGACAUGUAUCUCAUUUUCAAUGCACUUUUGUUUUCAAAGUUUAUUAUGAAAAUAUUGGAAAAUGUUUAAGUCAUUGCUUCAUAACUUUCGCA